UACGGAGGGUGCAAGCGUUGUCCGGAUUUAUUGGGUUUAAAGGGUGCGUAGGCGGCUAUUUAAGUCAGUGGUGAAAUCCUGCAGCUUAACUGUAGAACAGCCAUUGAUACUGGAUAGCUUGAGUACAGACGAGGUAGGCGGAAUUUUAUGGUGUAGCGGUGAAAAUGCAUAGAUACCAUAAAGAACCCCCUAUUGCGAAAGGCAGCUUACUAGGCUGUAAACUUGACGUGAGGCACGAAAAGCUAGGGGGAGCAAACAGG
rnacentral:rRNA from 1 species